UACAGAGGGUGCGAGCGUUAAUCGGAAUUACUGGGCGUAAAGCGUGCGUAGACGGUUAUCUAAGUCGGAUGUGAAAGCCCCGGGCUCAACCUGGGAAUUGCAUUCGAGACUGAAUAGCUAGGGUACGGUAGAGGGAAGUGGAAUUUCCGGUGUAGCGGCGAAAUGCGUAGAUAUCGGAAGGAACAUCAGUAGCGAAAGCGACUUCCUGGACCAGUACCGACGUUCAGGCACGAAAGCGUGGGGAGCAAACAGG
rnacentral:rRNA from 1 species